AAAAAGUUUGAUUUUGGCUUAAUUAUUUGAUUAAUGAUUAUUUUGCAUGUGAAUUUUUGUGUGAUUUUAUUUUUUUUUAAAUAAUUUAAAUAAAAAUUUUAUUUGCAGCAAUUGGGUUUAAUAAUUAAAUAACUUUAGAAUUAUUAAUUUAUUCAUAAUGUAGGCAAAUUUUGUGCCAGCAGCUGCGGUUAGACAAAUUAUGUAAUUUAAUAUUAUUAAUUUAUAAUUUUUAAUUGAUUUAUAUUUUAUAAAAAUAAAAAUUAGGUGAAAUUUUUUUUUAUUAUUAUUGAUUAGAAAAAUUUUUUAUAGAUUAUGAGCUCUAAAAAUUAAACUAGGAUUAGAUACCCUAUUAUUUUAGAAUUAAAAUUUAAAAUUUUAAGGAUUAAUAGUUAUAUUCUUUAAACUUAAAGAAAUUGGCGGUAUUUAAAACUAAUUAGGGGAAUUUGUUUUUUAAUUGUCAUUACUCAAAAAACCUUACUUUAAUUUUUAAUUUAUUUAUUGUCGUUAUCAAAAUAUUUUUAUAGAAUUAUGAAUUUUUUAGAAUUUUUAUGGAGGAAUUUAUUUCAGAUCAUGGUGUAGUUUAUAUUAAAGUUAAAAUUAAUUACAAUAAAAUUUAUUUAUUACGGAUGUAAAAAAUGUUGAAAUAUAAUAUUGAAGGUGAACUUAAUAGUAAAAUUAAUUUUAAAAUUAUGUUAAUUUGAAUUAAGAGUUAAAUAUGUACAAAUUGCCCGUCGCUCUCGUUUUUAAUAUGAGAUAAGUCGUAACAAAGUAAGUGUAUUGGAAAAUGUGCUUAGCAGG
rnacentral:ncRNA from 1 species